UAAAUAUUAAAAUUAGUGAUUGUUUGAAGUAUUUCUUGAUUCUGCACUAAAACAAUUCCCCCACCCACACACAAAUAUAUAAAAAAAAGAUAAAAUCCAGCUGAAGAAUUAUUUGAAAAUGAUGAGAAUGAAUUGGAAUUGAGGAUGAAUUCUUGUUGUUUUUCAAGGUCGGACACAGCCUGUGAAUCUGAAAUUCAGUUGGUAACAACGUUGGAGUGAGUGAAGCCUCUGUUGAUUUCCCCGGGAGAAGGAUUUUUGACUUGAUAAGUUAAUUGAAGAGUGAGAAGUAAUGUAGGAUUUGAGUGUCUGAAGAUUUCAGGUGAUUCCUGGAGAUACAUUGUUGUCAUGGCUGCUGAGAUUGCGUGUGCACGGAAGAGGAAACACCGUGGGUUUAUGACUGUCUUGUCGGCCGCUGCCUGUGAAUGGCUCUUAAUGUUUCUGCUCUUUGUCGAUGCGGUUUUCUCAUAUUUGCUCACGAGAUUUGCUCACUAUUGUGAACUGCAAACACCUUGUCCUUUAUGCUCAAGGCUUGAUCAUGUUUUUGGGGAACGGAAACCAGGAUGUUAUUGGAGUCUAAUAUGCAGUAACCAUAAAGAUGAGAUCUCGUCUUUGGUGUCUUGUACUGUCCAUCAAAAACUUGCUGAUGUUCAUGGGAUGUGUGAAGAAUGCCUUAUGCCAAUUGCAAUGCAGAAUGAUUCUGAGUCGUGUAAGUUGCAGGUUGGUAAGUUAUGGGUGAACGUUGAGCGAUCUGUUCUCCAGAACUUGCUGCUGAAUAAGCAUAUUCAUCUUGGUUCCUCAGGGUGUAAGACCUGUUCGUGCUGCAACAAGGCAUGGAAAGCUAAAUCUAGUGCUGAAAGAUUGCUCGAGCUUCACCAAGUUGUUUUAGGGGCUUCUAAGGCCAAUCUCAAGCCUCCUCUGCCUCGUGCGCCUGUCCGCAGUCGUCUCAGUCGACGCGAUACCAUGAAGAGGCUGAGAGAUAAAUGUGUAGGUCCAACGACACAACGGUCAACUGGGAGAAAUGGUGUUGGCACAUUGUCCAAUGCAGGAUAUGCCAAGCUCAAAAUAUCAUCCGAUUCUGAGUCAGAGGUACCAUUAUCAGAGGAUGAUGAUGAUGAUGGAAGUAUGAGUUGUAGUAGUACUAAUUAUAGCAAACAUGCAUACGAUGUUGGAUUUGGCAUAAGAGACCUCACAGAAACACCAGAGAACAAUGAGGCUUCAGAGAAGCAGACACAUCGAAGUUCUGAAAUGAAAGAUCAACCUGAUCUGCUUGAUUUAAAUGAGCACAAUAAUGUCAAAUUUUCAUUGUCAGAUGCCUUGAUAGAUCGUGGUCUGAGAGAGCUUAGUUGGGAAGUAUCUCAUCAUAAGCCAACUCCUCAUUUGAUCACAAAGCUAAUUCCAUUAGAUGAUAUUCCAAAGCGAACUGAUGUUGUAUCAUUGGGUGCAUCAGCAGAGACUUCCAACUUUUCUCUCCCUAGCAGUUCAGCCCUCUCUGCACUACCUGACCUUUCUGUACACACAGUUCCUUCUUCAUCCAACACUGCGACAAUUGCAAAGAACACAACAAAUAUUGGGGAACCCUAUGAAGGAGUACACAGAUCUGCAACCAUCCAUACAGAAGCUGCUGCAGGAACUACUUCAGAUGAUUCUUGUUUAUCAGAGUCAAAGAGUGAGGGUCUACCUGAUGCACUGAAUCAGAACGCUGAAACCAUGCAAUUAUCAGGUGAGCAUGAAGUUGAGCCAGUUGAAGAAGUACAUAAACCUGGAGCUGUCCAUAUAGAAGCUGCUCCUGGAACUACUUCAGAUGAUACUCGUUUAUCAAAGUUGAAUAGUAAGGAUCUAAAUGAUCCAUUGGGCCAAAGUAAUGAAAUCAUGCAACUAUCAGGAGUGCAUGAAGUUGAGCCAAUUAAUGCCUCUGGCACUGCUAGAGCUGAAGAUGUACAUAAAUCUGCAGCCAUCCAUAUAGAAGCUGCUGCAGGAACUACUUCAGAUGAUAAUUGUUUAUCAGAGUCUUACAGUAAGAAUCUAACUGAUCCAUUGAGGCAGAGUACUGAAAUCAUGCAACCAUCAGGAGAGCAUGAAGUUCAGCCAAAUAAUGUCUCCGAUACUGCUAGAACUGAAGAAGUACAUAAUUCUGAAGCCAUCCAUAUAGAAGCUGCUGCAGGAACUACUUCAGAUGAUACUUGUUUAUCGGAGUCAAAUAGUAAGAAUCAAACUGAUUCAUUGAGCCAGAAUACUGAAAUCAUGCAAUUAUCAGGUGAGCGCAAAGUUGAGCCAAUUAACACCUCUUAUACUACAAGAACUGAAGAAGAUAUGAAGUCUAUGUCGCUAAUUUCUAUGUCUGAGUUGGGCUUAUUGCCAAAACAGACCAGUUCCAAGCCUCAUGAUGAACAAAAUGAAUCUACCAAAGACGAAGAAACGAGUUCUCAGGCACUUCCAUUUUCAGCGUCACUUAAAAGAAAUGACUCAAGCUAUGAAUCUUUGGAUGGAAUCAGUGUCAGUGAUACUGAAGGUGAAAGUAUUGUUGAUCGACUAAGAAGACAGGUCGAACAUUACCGAAACUGCCUGAAAUCUUUAUAUAAGGAAUUGGAGGAAGAAAGAAAUGCUGCUGCUAUUGCAGCAAAUGAGGCAAUGGCCAUGAUUACAAGAUUGCAGGAGGAGAAGGCAGCACUUCAUAUGGAGGCCCUGCAAUACUUACGAAUGAUGGAUGAACAAGCAGAGUAUGAUAUGGAGGCACUCGAAAGAGCUAAUGAUCUCCUUGCUGAAAGGGAGAAGGAACUACAAGACUUGGAAAUCGAGUUAGAAUUCUACAGAUAUAACAUUAGUGAUGAAUCAGGGAUAGAGGAUAUACAGACAAGAACCCCAUUUUUGGAGAAUCAUGUUACGGCCCAUUCUCAAAACAGUCAUGCUACUUCUAGUGGUUCAAAAUCUGCUAAAGUUUCAAUAGCCAAUGGUAAAUCUAGUCCCAUGAGUAGUUUAUUACCAAACUUUGAGGAUGAAAAACUCUACAUCUCAAAAUGUUUGAAUCAGUUGGAGAAAAAUCUCCAUCAAGCUUAUUGUAGUGGGAAUUCAGAAGACCUGCCAAAUGGCCUAAAUUCUGACAAGAUAAAAGCUGAAGCUGGAAAUCUCGAAGAGUUACCUCCCAACUCAGGGAAAGUGUUAAAUGUUGAGCUUGAAGAAAAUGCUCUGUUUGUGCAAAACAAUAGUGCUGCAUCAGAUGGAAAAACUGCUCAAGACACUACACCAAAUGGUACUUCUUCUCAUGACAAGGAAAAUAAUGGUCAUUAUGAGAAGACUGCCAACUUAUCAGAAAAACGAGGUCAUAUAAACUCAGCUGCUUUUGAGAAGGAAAUUGCAGUACUUCAUGACAGGUUGGAAGCACUUGAGACUGACCAAGAGUUCCUCAAGCAUGCUUCUAACUUGCUCCGGAAUGGAAAAGAUGGAAUGCAAUUAAUUCAGGACAUAGCUCAUCAACUACAAGAGUUGCGGAAGAUAGAAUUCAGAGAGAGAUGACUAUCCAUCCUGUGAUGUUGCUUAUCAUUCAAUUGCAACGUAAGCAUUUGUUCCCAUGAUUUUGUUUCUUCUAUGCAGAAUUCCCACAGUAUCAGAUAUAUCGUUUCUGGAUGAAAAUGGUAUUGGUUUGAUAAGAUAUCUACUUCUCAAAGUCACCUCAAAGCAUUGCCAAUGAGGGGCUGUAGUGCAGUUGACGAUAGAAACCUAAGUAACAUAUCUGCAUCAUUGGUGGAAGUGGAGCUCUAUAGUGGAGAAGCACACACAGAGAGAGACAUCUACAUCAGUAACUAAGUUGGGGGGGGUGGGGGGAAAGAAUGCAAUCAUGAAGAUGUAUCUCAAGUGCCUGCACAGAAAUGAAAGUAAUUGCAAGUAAAUUUCUCAUAGAAGCUCCACUUACGGUUUUCUUCCCAGACGAGCAAAGUGUGCUUGAGGGUAGGAACAUACUGAAUAAACUAAGUGUUCCUAUUUUCAGUUUCCAUUUUCCAAUCGGGUUUUGUUCUUUUCAGUGGUAGAUGACCAUAGAUUCGGUUUUGUAACCUUUGAAAAUUAGUUUUAACUGUAGAGUUACAGGUUGAUUUUAUUCUUCAAACUAGCUCAUAGUAGGAGGCCAUGUAACUUGUGUAUAUGUCUGUGUGCCCUCAGGUUAGCUCUAGCAAGGCCCUCCUGCCUUUUACUAUCCAUGUUAGCUCUAGCAAGGCCUUCCUGCCUUCUACAAUCCUGGACAUAUUACAUUGAGUUGUUUCAAUAUCUUUUGAUCUCUUACACAAUGCAAAUUUGCUUGUUGAAAUCUACAGGCUAUAUAGAUUUCCUCAUGUCCUCCCCUUCCUUCAUC